rnacentral:rRNA from 1 species
AUUGAACGCUGGCGGCAGGCCUAACACAUGCAAGUCGAACGAUUGGCGGACGUGUGAGUAAUGUCUGGGACACUGCCUGAUGGAGGGGGAUAACUACUGGAAACGGUAGCUAAUACCGCAUACCCUCGGAUUUACCCAGAUGGGAUUAGCUAGUAGGUGGGGUAACGGCUCACCUAGGCGACGAUCCCUAGCUGGUCUGAGAGGAUGACCAGCACCACUGGAACUGAGACACGGUCCAGACUCCGACGGGAGGCAGCAGUGGGGAAUAUUGCACAAGGGGCGAAAGCCUGAUGCAGCCCUGCCGCGUGUAUGAAGAAGGCCUUCGGGUUGUAAAGUACUUUCAGCGGGGAGGCGUUACCCGCAGAAGAAGCACCGGCUAACUCCGUGCCAGCAGCCGCGGUAAUUC